UCCAAUCCCUCACCCGUCGCCGCCACCAUCCUCGAAUCCAACACCGAACCAGCCUGCCUACCUCGUUUUCCAGAUCCACCCAACCACAUCCAUCCAUUCCACCGUCGCUCUGGACCAUCAGAUCCGGAUCAAACAGUCUGUAGGCUCCCAGUUCAUCCUCCCACCUACCGCAUCAACAGAGAGCCGCACGUUCCAACACUCGUUCUCCUUGAGCGAGUUCCUGCCUCGUUCCCCUCCGUCCACACCCAUCCUUCGCGCGCGGUAAGCCGCAGAACCACCGGAGCUCCCUCCGCCGAUGAGCACCACCAGCAGAUGGGACCUCAUCGCCUGGAGCACACCGGCGCCAUAGAAGCCACCGCCGGCCUCCGCGUCGAGCUCCACCACCGGAGAUCCCCGUCGCUGCCUCCAUUCCCCCGGUCUGCUCCCGUCCCAGUCCGCCUUCGCUUGCCUCUCCGACGCCAAGUCCCUAUCGCCGCCCCUGUUUUCCCCUACUUCGAGUGGGACGGGACGAUGCGCCCCUGCUCCUCGUGUGGACCGCUCCAGCGACCGCGCCCGUGGACUCCGCCGUUCCCAAGGCCCUACAUCCUCUGCCCGCGAGCACCAUUGCUGUAGCCUCCUCGACCCAGAUGCAUGCCGUCACCUUCCUCCGCCCUCACCAUCGUCCCGCAGGUGGGCAGCACAAGCAGCGCCCGCAUCCUGCCAGUACCGUUGCCCCAGAUAACGAGCGCCCGUUGACCACGCCCCCGCUACGUGCCAGGACACGCAGAGAACACGGCCCAAGCAGCUCCCCCCUCCCGGCCAACCGGGCUUCCUCUCCACCGCCUUGGGCCAAAGCCCAUGGUGAGGCCAUAGUUCCCCCUUUUGUUUUUUUUCUGUUAGCCCAUCCUGCUCCAGUUUCAGCCCGUGUAGUGCUAUUUUCUCUGGACGAAUUUGCCUAUUUAACCAGAGAACGCAGUUUUGCAGAAAACCCCCUAAGUUUCAUGCAUUUAAUAACUCACAAACGGUGCAUCAUAUGAAAACAAACUUUAUAUGAAAAAUGCUUAGAAUCUUGUCUAGUUUAAUAAUA